CAAGCUCUCCUCUUUACAUUUUGUGUAACCGUGGCCAAGGUAUUGACUGUUCUAUAGAGCCAAUGUCCUCAUUUAUAAACGGAGAUAAUGUCUACCUCUAAGGGUCAUUUUGAGGAUUUCAGGCAUAAAGAUUAUAGCAUAGAUAACUAUAUGCAUUGGCACAGUGUCAGACAUAUAGCAAGAGUUGACAAAAUGGUAACUAAGUAAUAGGAAAAUCCAGGGAAUGGAGAGAUUAAAUCCUACUGGGAAAUUGUGGAUACCCACCUUGGGAAGGUGAGAUUUUAAUUUGGUGCUAAAGAAUGAACAGGUCUCUGCUAGAAGCCCUGGAAAAGAAAGGAUUUCUGGGCAGAGGAAGGUGUAGGGUUAGGGUUGCAAAGGACAAAGAAGGAAGAUCCAGAGAACUUGGGAGGGAUUUGGGUAUGUUUGUAGUGGAAGAGCAUCUGGAUGCUGCUCAUAGUCAGAGUUUGGAGACUUUGAGUGCCAGAGAAGAGGAACCACUUCUAAUUUCAUGAGCCUUUUGGAGUACUAUUCCAUUUACUUCCAGCUCUUCCAAGAGUGCUGACUGAGAGCUGGCCACUUAGCACCUCUCUGUGCAUGAAGGCCUGGUGCUGGGGGACAGUGACUCCAGAAGAAGCCUGGCCUCUUUCUCCCUGAGCACAGCAUGUCUCUAGUUCUGUUGCCUACUGCCACCCUGAUUCUCAGCCAGGCUUCCCCAGACUCAGCUGGAACCAGUAGCAUUAUAAUAAGGCAAGAAAUAGAGAUCCCACCAUCUGAUGCAUUUUCAGAAGAAACAGAUCCUCUUAGCUUUGUGAGUGAUGUGCCUCCAUUGGCAAGAACCACAAGGACCACAAGAACACAGCACCCGGGUUUCAUCAGAUUAGAUCCUUUACCCAAGGAAUUUCCAUCACGUUGUGCAAACAGAGCAAUGCAUGAGCAGGUGGCCAAUGGAUGGCCCAGCUGGGCCAGAAACUCAACACCUGGGG